UUGAUUGCUUAACACAUCAGGGUCCAGCAUCAAAAAACCCCGACUUUCGGGGUUUUUUGUUAUCUGAAUUUCUGUAUUGCAGAAGUUCAGACAUUGCUUGGAAUUUAAAUUGGGCUCUGAGCCCUUUUUUU
rfam:Vibrio coralliilyticus strain 58 chromosome I, complete sequence.